CAGCCCUAAACGAUGCGCGUUAGGUGUAUCGGUGACCACGAGUCACCGAGGUGCCGAAGGGAAACCGUGAAACGUGCCGCCUGGGAAGUACGGUCGCAAGGCUGAAACUUAAAAGGAAAUUGGCGGGGGGAGCACCACAAGAGGUGGAGGCUGCGGUUCAAUUGGACUCAACGCCGGAAAACUCAUCGGGAGCGACAGCAGUAUGAUUGCCAGGUUGAUGACCUUGCUUGACAAGCUGAGAGGAGGUGCAUGGCGUAGUCGUGU
rnacentral:rRNA from 1 species